ensembl:lncRNA
CACACACACACACACACACACACACAGAGUCAUGUAUGACUGCAAAUUGUGUUUAUUAGUGACUGUCCUUAAUGUAACUACAGUAGUGACUGUCCUUAACUCAGUCUGUAACUACAGUGGUGACUGUCCUUAACCCAGUCUGUAACUACAGUCGUGACUGUCCUUAACCCAGUCUAUAACUACAGUGGUGACUGUCCUUAACACAGUCUGUAACUACAGUGGUGACUGUCCUUAACUCUCUGUACACAAGCCAAUACAAGAAACCAAUGAAUGUCCCAAGAGAGCACAACCCACUUUUGUGUCCUCAUCAUUAAGAAAAAGAACAAUAUAAUUCAUCACCAUAACACGGCUUGUUACGUGUUGCUUGAUGACACAUAGUACAGUACACUUUUACAUAGCACUGAUGAUGAUUCAUCCACACAGAUGGCAUUUGGGUGACCAGAGAGACUGCUAGUUCCAUUCUCCUUACUCAGCAACAUUAUUUAUAUCCCUUCACAAUAAGCUGCCUGUGUAUUUUGGCAUCAGACGCAGGGUCGCCAUGGGUCAGCUCGUAGUUCAAAGGCCUCGUAAAGGCCACAUCAAGCAAAUUGUCUGUGUUGUUUGGGUAAAAGUUAAUUAUAGGGCUGAGAAAUGUGUACACUGUGAGAAGGUUCACACACUCCACAUAUUAUCAUUCAUCUGACCUUAUGGGUCAGGGGACUGACAUUCCAUACAGCAUGUGAAUCAGCAACAAAUGAAUACUUGGUAAACUGUCUGGACUGGUGAGCUAAUUCAGGGGUGGAAACAGUGCUGUAUCUUCAGCUCGCCACUGUACUCAAACUUCAGGGAGAAAGACAUUGGUUGGUUAUUGGCAGACGUUUAUUACAUAAAAAGCUAAAUCUCCACCCAUCUGUCAUUGAACUUGCCUGUGCACAUUGGGGCUUGUCAUGCUUAGUUUUUAUUUUAUUUUAUUUAACCUUUAUUUAACUAGGCAAGUCAGUUAAGAACACAUUCUUAUUUACAAUGACGGCCUACACCGGCCAAAACCCGGACAACGCUGGGCCAAUUGUACGCCGCCCUAUGGGCUUCCCAAUCAUGGUCAGAGACCUGGCCGUGUGGUUCCAGGACAACAACCUCCCCUUCAAUGUGAUCAAGACUAAGGAGAUGAUUGUGGACUACUGGAAAAAGAGGACCGAGCACGCCCCCAUUCUCAUCGACAUGGCUGCAGUGGAGCAGGUUGAGAGUUUCAAGUUCCUUGGUGUCCACAUCACCAACAAACUAACAUGGUCCAAUCACACCAAGACAGCCGUGAAGAGGGCAUGACAAAACCUAUUCACCCUCAGGAGACUGGAAAGAUUUGUCAUGAAGUUAGAGGUCAGCUUUACAACAGUCUUCCCGGUAUUGUCCCCUGCCCGACUCUGGACUACUUUUCCGCCUGCCUGAUCAUCCUGCCUGCCCUGACCUUGACUCUGCCUGCCCUGACCUUGACUCUGCCUGCCCUGACCUUGACUCUGCCUGCCCUGACCUUGAUUCUGC